rnacentral:rRNA from 1 species
GACGGGGGAUGCAAGCGUUAUCCGGAAUCACUGGGCGUAAAGCGUCUGUAGGUGGUGAUGCAAGUCACUGGUGCAAAACUCUGGCUUAACCGGAGGAAAGCCAGUGAAACUGCAUGACUAGAGUGUGGGAGAGGUAGAAGGAAUUCCCUGAGUAGCGGUGAAAUGCGUAGAUACAGGGAAGAACACCGGAGGCGAAAGCGUUCUACUGGAACACAACUGACACUGAGAGACGAAAGCUAGGGGAGCAAACAGG